UGCCAGCCGCCGCGGUAACACGUAGGCAUCAAGCGUUAUCCGGAUUUAUUGGGCGUAAAGAGCUCGUAGGCUGUUCGGUAAGUCGGGUGUGAAAACUCUGGGCUCAACCCAGAGAGGCCACUCGAUACUGCUGUGACUAGAGUGCGGUAGGGGAGCGGGGAAUUUCUGGUGUAGCGGUGAAAUGCGCAGAUAUCAGAAGGAACACCAGUGGCGAAGGCGCCGCUCUGGGCCGUAACUGACGCUGAGGAGCGAAAGCAUGGGUAGCAAACAGGAUUAGAUA
rnacentral:rRNA from 1 species